UCAGUGUGCUGAUGGAGCUGCAUAGUGUUCAGCAGGAGGAGAGUAGCCUGGUCACCGCACUCAGCCCUUACAGUCACAUCCAGCUGUAUUCUGUCUCGGCCCACAUGCUCUCCCCUUCGUCUCCACUCACCACAGACACUAUGAGUUCGCCGUAUUGUAGGUAUGCUGCCUGGUGGCCAGUGGCACCAUGUCUCUGUAAGUGUGUCCUCCAGCUGGCUGGCUCUUUAUGUGAACUAUGAGCUGGUGGAGAGGGUAAACUGGACUUUCCCUGGACAGGACAUUACCACUGAUGGUCUGCUGAUGCUGGGAGGCAUCAUUGAGGGCUUUGAGACACCAUUCAAAUUGAGGGCUUAUCGGAUGCUCAAAUGUUACUCUCACUUUUAUCUACAGUGUUUCCUAGUACAGUCACAGUAUAUCAAAUCAUCCAAACGUUUUAUCUGUUCCUCAUUAGGAUUUGAGAGAAGUUGUCUGCCACUCGAUGGCAGUAGAGAGCAGUUAAUAUCCCAUUUGACCAAUUUCUAGGCUGUUGUCAGCUUGAUUUAGGUAUUGAGAAGGAUUUCACCUCGUUUGUUUGCUGUUUUUCUGCAGUUGUACAGUAUAUGUCUACAUUCUGGAUUUAGCUUUAAAAUUCAAUCAUGCAAUUACUUUAUCUUGAGCGACGACACAAAAUGAAACAGACCACAUAGUUAUGGGAAUCUGGUCAAUCUCUCUGCCUGCUCAUUAAUCCUCCCAGAGGGUUAACUGAUUCUUCUAAAAGAAACAGCUCCUCUUCACUUUAAUUCAAUCCAGAGCUGUUGCUCUUGGUGCAAAUUCAUCACAGGACGGACACAGGCAGGGCCUGGUUGUCAUAUCAUAUUUGCUCUAGUCAGUAAUAUAGGAACUAUCACUGUACUGCCCAAGUAAGUAUCUGGAUGAUCUCAGCCUACUAUAUUGUAAAGACUCAAGGUUAGGGUCAGAACAGCUGGGCUGGUUGGAAGGCAUGGGAAUGUCAUGGUCAGAGUAGGAGUUUCCAAGUGUAUUUACUACUUAUACCUGACUGCCUCUCCAAUGGCUCUGUCCUAAAGAAACCUCACAUUGAUCAGUGAGAUAGUCCAGUAUUUUAGACUCUGACUGUGGUAAGUAAUGAGGCUGGGUGGAAGGUUCCUUGGUUGCCAUGGCACGGUGAGGUAGCCUAGGCAGAGAACUCUGUAAAUAUUGUAUACGUAUUUAUUGUUUCUAAGGGUGCGUUCGUAAAUGUCCUCUGGCUGUCUACUCCGAUUUCAGAGCACUCUCGUCUGAGUGUGCCAGAGCGCAGAAUAACUGAUGAAUUUACGAACGGCCAGAGCACACUCUGAGCUCACUCUGGCACUCCUAGAUUGAAUUUACGAACACGAUUGAAUUUUUUUGUUGCAUUUCUUAAUUUAUUAUGGGGGGUUUUGACUAAUCUAGGGUUUGGUUACUAUAUCCUGUGGUCUUGACUCUGAGUGCAAGAUAGCCUUUUGACUUGAUAGGUAGCUAGGUGACUGGUGAAGCUUUUUGUUUAAUCAGUUUGGAAGUAUUCCACCAAGGACUGCACGCUGUGUCCAGAGGUAGCAGAGGAAGUUCAGGGACUGUUCAGGUAAUGCUCUUAACCACGUGGUGGCUUAGGUAGUCGUGGCAUCACCCUGGUGGGUGCUACAUUCCUGGCAAUGGAGGACCAGUAGCAGAGGAGCGGCUCCAAUGGGGUGAGUGACCAUUCAGAGAAGCGUGGUGUGCUAUUGAAGAGCUCCGGGCCUGUUUUUUUUUUCUGGACUGUUUUUGUUUCUCCUUGGCUGUCCAAUCGAUGCCCCCACGCUGAACCUACAUUAAACCUCCACUGGGAGACAGAUGACAUUUGUGAUGGGUGUGUUUGUGACCAACCGGCCCCCAAACCUCCAUGCUCCCCCAGGACACCCCACACACACCAGAUAUUUCAGGAUGUCGAGUUGUUCUCUGGUGACCUGCUAGAUGACUUGAAAAACAGUACGGGGAGUUUCAGAGAGAGUUCAACAGAUAAAGCUGAUCCUGUCAUGAUGAGAGAUAUGGGCCACAGAAGGUGUCGAAGAGCCUUUGGAUUGUAAACACAGAAGAACUUCAACUCAGGAUCAGAUAAGGACUACAUCUCUAAUCCAUUUACCCAGAACUGCUGAGUCUUGCAGUGAAAGAGAAAGCUGCUCAUCUGACACAAAGUAGGUUAACCUACUAAUGAACCGCAAUUGGGUUCUCAAAUGUCAUUUUUCAUGAAAUGUCCUGUUGGAUCACUGAUAUUAGGAUCUGUACUGUUUUACCGCACCAGUCCAGAAAAGUUACAAACAAGAAAUGCCUGAGUUAAACAUAACACUGAAAAUGUAAAAAGUAAAUUAUUAUAAAAUGAAAUCAGACUUUUUCCCAAUUAAAGCUUUUUUUGCCGUUUUGGUAAUGAGAAUGCGAAGGAAAGGGGUUGUUUGAGAAUAAGAACCUCAUUCUGAAGGCUUAUAAGCAAAUAAAUUAACAUAACUUCUAUUAUUCCUCUAGAUGCAUCAUGGGUGAAUAAAUAUUUUCUUAAAAAUCGAUUGGAGUUUUUGCAGCAACUUGAAAAAGUGUUAGGGUAAUGACACAUGUCCACAGACACUGUUGGUUCGUAAUAAAUAUUAUGGUUUAAUGUUAACUUCAGCUAGUAUACCAUUGUCAUGAUUUAUGGACAAGCUACAGCAAAAUGAUGUGUUUUAUUAGAAUAUGUUAGGUUUUUCUAAAGUAAAAUUGUCAAAAAUUACCAGAGAUUAUUUUUGGGGCGUUAAAUUUUAAGCAUUUGUUUUUCACGACCGAACCCAUGCUAUUCUGAAAUUUUAAUAAUAAACCAUUAGAUUUUUCCUUUGGGUUAAUGAUGGUGUAUUGAUUGAUUUUCUUUUUAGUAUACGUUUUUUCAAGAUGAGUGAUGAGAAGAGAAUCGUCCAGCCCAUUGGGUAUCUCACUACACCCCCAUAUGACAUGUCUUGAAAUGUUCAGACAGACGGAUUAAAAGUAAGUUUACAUUGUAAUGCUUCUGACAGCUUUCUAGCUCCACCCACGACUUAAUUCGUUGUACUCUUAGGACUUGGCCGUUGUGCUGUAGAAUUUUUGAAUUUUGUCUCUUGUAUAAUAAAUUCUAUACAUUAGUUAUUUACUGGAUUAAGUGUACAUUUUUGUUGACUGUAAUUUUGUUAGUUAUGCUCCAACUUUCCCUCCAUGUUGUGCCACCAUCAGUUCUUUUUAAGUUUUGGUUCCAACAGUUUAUCUUUUUUCUAAGAGAUUGGCAGUUGUAUAGGCUCUUUGCAAGGUUUUGUG